UUAUCGUUCCUGAAUAGGUGGCGCCGUGGUAGCCGAUCCUGUUCUUAAACUUCCGGUUUCUGCACUGUGCAUACUAACUAUUACAGUUGAAUUUUUAAUUAACGAUGCCAAGUACUUGUUGUUGUGUACCUGGAUGUCAUUUAAGAGGAGGACAUGCAUUUCCAAAUGACUUAAAAAGAAGGAAAAGUUGGAUCAAUGCCAUGGCCCAUACGCAGAUUGGACGAGAACACGAUGAAAUCGUGGAGUCCAUCUCAAUCAGCUGUUGUUUGCAAGCCACAUUUUACUGAAAAAGACUACGUGCAGGAAACUAUUCAUGGGCGCAAACCCACCAUACAGAGACUUAAGUCUACUGCCAUUCCCAGCCUAUUUUCCUGGACCAAGCAAGAGACUGAAUCGUCCGCAAAAGGAAAAAUCAGGGCAGUUUCCUGUGAAAACAAAAGAACUAAGCUUGAUGAAUAUUGUAGUAGAAAUCUAGAGGAAAGUUUUGAUUGUAAAGUUGGUUUUCCUGAAGAAGUCAUUCAUACUGCAGACAGGAUUUAUGACUGUCCACCACCAACUGCCGAGCUAAUGUUGAGCUUCACAGAUGGAAUUACGCAAUGCCUAUAUUUUCAGCAGAGAAUUUUGAAAUGAAGACACGUGACACAGCCUUGCAUUUUUAUACCGGUUUAGAGUUGUAUACUAAAUUUUUAUUUGUUUUGACCACACUUGGUCCAGCAGCACAUUGUUUGAGAUGCAUAUAUUUUCAAAUUGAUAGGGUGUCAUUUGAAAAUCAGUUUUUUUAUGACUUUGAUGAAAUUGAGGCAUUAUACAACCAACUUUGAACUGUCUAGAUUCUAGAUUGAAACUAGUGUUAAGAAUAUUGUGUAAACAUGGAUUGUUUUUAUGUCUAAACAGUGGCGUGAGGCUAUUAACACUUGGCCAUUUAGUGGUUUAGUCAGGUAUUUUUCACCAUCCAACUUCAAAUUAAAGUUUCCUACAACUUAGAUUAUUAUUGACAGCACAGAAUAUCCCGUGAUAAAACCUAAAGCUCCUAGAGCUCAGGCAACCUUUUCAUCAUAUAAAAACAGAAACACUGAAAAUACUUGUAUUUUCGACACCUGGUGGUUUAGUCAACUAUGUCUCUAAUGCAUAUGUUGGUUGUACCAGUGACUGUGAAAUAGUUGAAAGAUGUAGAAUAGUUCAAUUAUGUGAUCCAGGUGACAGUGUGAUGGCAGACAAAGGUUUAAAUGUGCAAGAUUUGUUUGCUCACUUUUUUCAAAAAAAGAAACAGAAUUAGUUCCAAAACUCUUAUACGGGAUAGAAAAGUCUCCAAUUAACACGUGCACAUAGAGCUAAUUAUUGGACUUGGCAAAACAUACAAAAUUCUAAUAAAUCCUAUGAAUGGAACUGAAACAAAACUUUCAUCUGAAAUAACAUUUAGUUGUUUUAUGUUGUGUAAUUUUAGCAUGUUUAGAACUUGUAUUGUACCAAAGGAUGCAUAAAUAAAAGUGACGCAAUGAA